GCUCCCAUAGUUUAAUGGAUAAAAUGCGACUUUGCGGAAGUCGUGAUCUAGGUUCGAUUCCUAGUGGGAGCA
rnacentral:tRNA from 1 species